ACUUACCAAAAACAUGUACUUUAGAGAGAUUUGAAAUAAUUCAUGUCCAUGGUAAAAUUUUAACACUCACUUUUUAGUACCGAGUUAAGUGUAGUUUGA